AGUGAACGCUGGCGGUAGGCCUAACACAUGCAAGUCGAACGGCAGCACAGUAAGAGCUUGCUCUUACGGGUGGCGAGUGGCGGACGGGUGAGGAAUACAUCGGAAUCUACUUUUUCGUGGGGGAUAACGUAGGGAAACUUACGCUAAUACCGCAUACGACCUACGGGUGAAAGCAGGGGAUCUUCGGACCUUGCGCGAUUGAAUGAGCCGAUGUCGGAUUAGCUAGUUGGCGGGGUAAAGGCCCACCAAGGCGACGAUCCGUAGCUGGUCUGAGAGGAUGAUCAGCCACAGUGGAACUGAGACACGGUCCAGACUCCUACGGGAGGCAGCAGUGGGGAAUAUUGGGCAAUGGGCGCAAGCCUGAUCCAGCCAUACCGCGUGGGUGAAGAAGGCCUUCGGGUUGUAAAGCCCUUUUGUUGGGAAAGAAAAGCAGCAGGUUAAUACCCCGCUGUUCUGACGGUACCCAAAGAAUAAGCACCGGCUAACUUCGUG
rnacentral:rRNA from 1 species